rnacentral:rRNA from 1 species
ACGCUCGACACCUACGGGUGGCAGCAGUUGGGAAUAUUGGACAAUGGAGGAAACUCUGAUCCAGUGACGCCGCGUGAAGGAAGAAGGUCUUCGGAUUGUAAACUUAUUUUGUCAGGGAAGAAAAAUGACUGUACCUGAAGAAAAAGCACCGGCUAACUACGUGCCAGCAGCCGCGGUAAUCUGAGCGGGCUGGCAAGGC